GCUACACAUGCAAGUCGAGCGGAAACGAGUUAUCUGAACCUUCGGGGAACGAUAACGGCGUCGAGCGGCGGACGGGUGAGUAAUGCCUGGGAAAUUGCCCUGAUGUGGGGGAUAACCAUUGGAAACGAUGGCUAAUACCGCAUAAUAGCUUCGGCUCAAAGAGGGGGACCUUCGGGCCUCUCGCGUCAGGAUAUGCCCAGGUGGGAUUAGCUAGUUGGUGAGGUAAUGGCUCACCAAGGCGACGAUCCCUAGCUGGUCUGAGAGGAUGAUCAGCCACACUGGAACUGAGACACGGUCCAGACUCCUACGGGAGGCAGCAGUGGGGAAUAUUGCACAAUGGGCGCAAGCCUGAUGCAGCCAUGCCGCGUGUAUGAAGAAGGCCUUCGGGUUGUAAAGUACUUUCAGCAGCGAGGAAGGCGGGUGUGUUAAUAGCGCAUUCGUUUGACGUUAGCUGCAGAAGAAGCACCGGCUAACUCCGUGCCAGCAGCCGCGGUAAUACGGAGGGUGCGAGCGUUAAUCGGAAUUACUGGGCGUAAAGCGCAUGCAGGUGGUUUGUUAAGUCAGAUGUGAAAGCCCGGGGCUCAACCUCGGAAUUGCAUUUGAAACUGGCAGACUAGAGUACUGUAGAGGGGGGUAGAAUUUCAGGUGUAGCGGUGAAAUGCGUAGAGAUCUGAAGGAAUACCGGUGGCGAAGGCGGCCCCCUGGACAGAUACUGACACUCAGAUGCGAAAGCGUGGGGAGCAAACAGGAUUAGAUACCCUGGUAGUCCACGCCGUAAACGAUGUCUACUUGGAGGUUGUGGCCUUGAGCCGUGGCUUUCGGAGCUAACGCGUUAAGUAGACCGCCUGGGGAGUACGGUCGCAAGAUUAAAACUCAAAUGAAUUGACGGGGGCCCGCACAAGCGGUGGAGCAUGUGGUUUAAUUCGAUGCAACGCGAAGAACCCUUACCUACUCUUGACAUCCUCAGAGAGACUGGAGAACAGUCUGUGCUCGGGACUGAAAGAACAGUGCUGCAUGCUGUCGUCAGCUCGUGUUUGUGAAUGUUUGGG
rnacentral:rRNA from 1 species